rnacentral:rRNA from 1 species
CUCGGUUUGGUCGCGGAGGACAUUAC